UGCGUCUGAUCCAAUUCCCAAUUCCCUAUAUCCUAAUUCCCUUCACCGCCUUCAUUUACAUUACAGAUUUACAGCUACUUCCAUAUUUCUCUCUCUGUAUUUUUAAGUGUUUAAUGUUUAUGUUUUGUUAUAUAAGAUUUGUGCUUUUCCAAAACCCAAACUGUAUGUCUUUAAUUAAAAAACCAAAGACCGACCAUACUCUCUCACAUAGUCCUUGUCCGAUAGGCUAGAGGAAUUCAGAAUUCAGACCCAAUGAAUCACCACCGCCUCUCUCUUUUGAUUUUAGGCGGUUCUAAUUACACUAAAGGGUUGGGUAACAAUGGUGAGGGAAAGUAAGUGCUCUGCUAAUAAUAACACUAACACUAAUGCAGCCGGAACCAUCAAACUUUUUGGUGCUUAUUUACAGAAUAAUGUUAAUGAAGUUGCUGGUAACGUCGAGAAGAACAAUAAUGUUCAACGCAACGCUGUUAAUCAGAAAAAGAAAAGGGAAGCGAUGGACUGAGGAAGAGCAAGUUUGUGACCACCAAAACCCCAGCCCAGAUUGAAUGAAGCGGAAAUCAAGGAUUGCCUAGUUUCACAAACUAAGAAAAGUGAUUCAGAAAAGUCAUUAGAGGCUAGCAGCUCUCAAGCUUUGGCGUUGGAUAUUCCAACAGUUGCUCAAAUUCCAGCUCCGAAUUAUUGUCAGAUUCCUUCCAUGGUGGGAAUGCCUGGCCGUGCACUGCUCCUACCAAUAGUGAAUUAUGUGAGCCAAACUUGUCCAUCCCGGUUGCUUGGAACCCAGCAGAAUUUUGGCACUUGUGCUUCUGAUAUUACUCAUCCAUCUGGAAUUCCCUCACGGCCUCACCACAGUGUUUCCCUCACAGUCUAUCUCAUUUCAGCCUUGGGCUUUCAUCAAUUGCAAGAGAUGUUGUAGAGCUUACAAUUGGACAGCCUCAAAUUUCCCCUGGAGCAAACUUAUCAACUCAGACGUCUGAAGCCAUUAGAGUGAAAUGAAAAAUUUUGGUGAGUUGAAGCCUUAUUUUUGGGUUUUGAUUUAAAAAGAAGGCUAAAAUUAGAACAAUGUAUAAGGCAAUUUAUUUUUUACGAUUUAGGGUAUGCUUAAAGAUAUAUUACACUAUCUAGCUUCACAGUACCUUUUUCCUUUUAACUAAUCAUUAAACCUAUGA